rnacentral:rRNA from 1 species
AUUGAACGCUGGCGGCAGGCCUAACACAUGCAAGUCGAGCGAGCGGCGGACGGGUGAGUACUGUCUGGGAAACUGCCUGAUGGCGGGGGAUAACUACUGGAAACGGUAGCUAAUACCGCCUACAAUUCGAUGUGCCCAGUUGGGAUUAGCUAGUCGGUGGGGUAACGGCCCACCUAGGCGACGAUCCCUAGCUGGUCUGAGAGGUUGACCAGCCACAUUGGAACUGAGACACGGUCCAGACUCCUACGGGAGGCAGCAGUGGGGAAUAUUGGACAAUGGACGAAAGCCUGAUGCAGCCAUGCCGCGUGUGUGAAGAAGGCCUUCGGGUUGUAAAGCACUGUCAGCGGGGAGGCGUUACCCGAAGAAGAAGCACCGGCUAACUCCGUGCCAGCAGCCGCGGUAAUAC